UACGUAGGGGGCAAGCGUUGUCCGGAUUCAUUGGGCGUAAAGAGCUCGUAGGCGGCUUGGCAAGUCGGGUGUGAAAACUCCAGGCUCAACCUGGAGACGCCACCCGAUACUGCCAUGGCUUGAGUCCGGUAGGGGACCACGGAAUUCCUGGUGUAGCGGUGAAAUGCGCAGAUAUCAGGAGGAACACCGGUGGCGAAGGCGGUGGUCUGGGCCGGUACUGACGCUGAGGAGCGAAAGCGUGGGAAGCGAACAGG
rnacentral:rRNA from 1 species